UAAACUAAGGUGGUAACUCUGUAUCCAUGUGUAUGACGAACGACGGUUGUAUCCUAGCACUGCGUGCCAAGCGAUCCGCCAUUUUAUUGUCCGUCCUCGAUACAUAAAUAACUUCUGAAUUGAUGAAACUUCUUCUCAAAAGCUUGAUAUCCUCCAGGUAACUCCCAAAUGCUGGCCAUUCCUCUGGUUCCGAAACCAUCUUCACCAGUUGAGAACAAUUCGUUGCGAACGUAACCUGAUACUGUCUUAAAUUUUUCAUACAUUCCAUUGCCCAAGUCAGUGCCUCUAUCUCCGCAUGAAGAGGUGAUAAACUUGCCCUUACGUUUCUUGCCCCUAACAGUCUCUCAAACCUUGGAAGUGUACUGAGCCAACCUUGGCCUGAAAAACCAUCUUUAUCUUUCCAAGAACCAUCCGUAAAACACCAUCUACAUGUGGUCACUAAGGGCAAUCUGCCUUGAACUUCAGGAACGACCCUUGGAUUAUUGAGAUUAUGCGCUUCAUUCCAAAGUCUAAAUGAUGUGGACUUUGUUGAAAAAAAAAAGAUGAUGUGGACUUUAAAGAAAAUUUAUCUAAAUCUUGUUUGGGAAAUAAAAUCUGAAGCUGAAAAUGCAAAUAUAACUAGAGUUUAACUUCGUACGGAUAUUUUUAAUUUUAUAAAUAUAUAAUUUUGAUAUUAUAAUAAAUAUAUGCUUUACAUUUAGUGUUAUAUAUGGAAUAACUCUAUAAUCUUAUUGUUUAAGCUUCUUAUUCGUCAUUAUUAAUAUAUAAUAAUUUGUUUUUUGCAUUUUAUUUUCUUAUUGAUUGUUAUUACAUAAUAAUAACAUAUAUUUGAGUUUUAUACAUAAAUUAUAAUCUGAAAUAAUCAAAUAUACAAUCUCCUUUAAUAUAGUUUUUAAUUUCUACAAUACAUGUUCAAUUUUAUUUAGUUAUACUGUAUAUGGAUAUUUGCUUAUGAUAAUUUAUAUUUUCAUGUUGUGUUUAAAAGUAAUACUUUAACAUCUAUCAUUUUAGUAUUUUGUAAAGUAAUACUUGAAUUAAAGAUAAGUUAUAUACUAUUAUAUUUUGUAUAUAGUUAUUUAUAGAUAAUAUAUUGCUGUGAGUUUCAAAAAUUGAUAAUAUAUAUAGUUGUAAAUAUAAAAGUUUAACAUAUGUUAAUAAUUUAGUUUUUAAAUAAAAUAUUACACAGUGUAGGAAUUUUAACCCGUUUUGCCGAUGAAUGAUAAUGUAUUUAAAUGAAACUGCUUUUUUUUAUCUGUUUUUUGACAUAAAAAGUCUGUUAAUCUAGCAAUUUAAUAUAAACUUGUUAUAUUUAAUCUAUAGAGAACGUCUAUUUUAGUUUAAUAUAGACUAUAAUUAUAAAAUUUAUUUGUCUUACGAUAAACUUUUGAUUAUAAUUAAUUUAUAAUAAUAUUAUAUUACUAAUUACGAAAUUAUAAUGCAUUAUUUAUAAUAAAAAAAAAUUUAAAAGUUUGGUAAGAUUUUGUUAGAGUUUUUCUCAACCGAUUUGAUUAUAAUUAAAAACAAAAUUCAAAUAUCUAAUUAAAAUUGAUUUACUAUUAACAUCUUUAUUGAUUAUUAAAACUUAAUGUAACUAAUCAAAUAUAUCACAUUAAGUACUUAAUUAAAUGAUCAUAGUAUGACUUGUCAAUAGUAGAUAAAAUAUAGGAUUCUAAAUUAAUAGAGUAGAUGAAAAGAAGUAAAGAAAGCUAGGUAAAGAGAAAAUAAGUAUAUGUUAAUAGGAAAAGAAUAGUAAAAAAAUGAAAAUAAAACGUAUCAAAUGCCAAAUAGAACAGCAAAUAUGCAUCAAAAUUCAUGUUAUGCGUGCAUCGAACUUGUAACAUUGGAAUCAAACGGGAUCACUUAUACCAACGGAGCUACAAAAGUGUUGCUUUAGCACCUAUAACUAAGUUUUUAACAAGUAGUUGGGAGCACGUGCCCCCGUUGUAAAUACUGUAGAUUCGUCCCUGGUUGCCUAUGCGCUGAGCGGUCGGCUACUAUACCAUUUUUACUUGUACAUUUAAAUAAUACGGCUUGCUCACAAACCAACUGAAUCCACAUAAGUAUUUGUCAUUAAGACAUGCACAUCGAGUCAUUUAUUUAUUAAGCUCUUGUUAAGUUCAUCUUUUCACAUAAACCGAUGUGGGAUACACACAUAUCUUAUAUUAUUCAUAAGUUCUAUAAUUAUAGCAUGAGCGAAAAUAUUUUAAUAUAUAAUCAAAUAAGAGUUAUAAAUUUGUUUAGCUUUGUGUUCAUACAAUAGUUUUUACUUUAUACCAUAUAUAAUUGGCGUGUAUAAAAUUUUCAAAAGAAAAUAUUUACCGUAGACACUCAGCAUAAACAUCCGUAUAUACGUUUGUGUAUUAUACAGUUGUCAAUCGUCCGACUAGCGUAUAGCGCAUUUUAGAACACUGCUAUUUUCUUAAGCUCGAGCCACCUCAAAUCUAUCUCAGGAUUGAAAACAAUUCAGGUCAAACAAUCUAGUCAACCUUCCAUUAUCAUUUUCUUUUUUUGUUAAAAUGAUAAUGAUUUCCUUCCAUUAAUCAUUGUCAUUUUUCUAGUCAAUCUACUCAACCUUCCAUUAUCAUUGUAUAUUUAGAAGCUAAGUAUCUGAUUUCCAUUUGUGCACAAAAAAAGUAUCUGAUUUCCUUGUUUUUGGUCAAACAAUAAAUAUUAAGGAUAAAUAAAUAUUAAGGAUAGGAUCAAGAAAAAAAUAUUUUUUAUAAAUAGAGGAUGGUUGUUCAUUACCUCUCACAUGUAAAAAGAAAAAAAAAAUCAUCUUUGAAAAAGAAAUCAAAAGAUAUGGGUGCAAAAUGGAACUCAAUGAUUGCAAUAGUUUUUUUGGUGGCGAUGAUAAUGGCAAUGGAAAAUAUCAGCGGAGAAACAUUGCCACAAUGCCGUGAAGAUUGCAUUCAAGGUUGUGCCACCACUGGCGCACUUCCGUACCAAUGCCUCCAGAGUUGUUACCGUGGAUGCCGUGGCUUACCACCUGCUAUAAAAGCGGGAGCAAGAGGAUAGAAGAAAUAGUCAUGAAUCAGUGUUGGACUCUUGGGACUUUCAAAUUACUUCUACUAUAUCCUUGUGGCAUCAAUUGUGUAACCCUAUUAAAUAAAUAGAUGUUUUUUUUCU